UACGUAGGUCGCAAGCGUUGUCCGGAUUUACUGGGCGUAAAGAGCGCGCAGGCGGCUGGCCAAGUCCGAUGUGAAAUCUCCCGGCUUAACCGGGAAACUGCAUCGGAAACUGGCCGGCUUGAAGGUGGGAGAGGGUAGCGGAAUUCCCGGUGUAGUGGUGAAAUGCGUAGAUAUCGGGAGGAACACCAGUGGCGAAGGCGGCUACCUGGCCCAUUCUUGACGCUGAGGCGCGAAAGCUAGGGGAGCGAACGGG
rnacentral:rRNA from 1 species